GACUACGGCCACAGCCAGCUGAACCUGCGUCGAGGAAAGGUGUCCUACUGCGCUAUGCAGGACGGCAUAAGCGUGGACCUCUGGCUGGCGCGUCAACGGGCCAGGGAGAAGGAGGAGACAAAGAAGGAGCAGAGGGAGGGAAGGCUGCGAGGAGAGGGAGAAGGAGAAGGAGAAGGAGCAGCAGCGGGAGGGAGGGAGUUCAAAGAGGAGGACACAGAAUGACAAGGGAGCUGCCCUGUGUGUCUGUGUGUCUGUGUGUCUGUGUGUGUGUGUGUGUGUGUGUGUGUGUGUGUGUGUGUGU